AACGAACGCUGGCGGCAUGCCUAACACAUGCAAGUCGAACGAGACCUUCGGGUCUAGUGGCGCACGGGUGCGUAACGCGUGGGAACCUGCCCUUAGGUUCGGAAUAACUCCCCGAAAGGGGUGCUAAUACCGGAUAAUGUCUUCGGACCAAAGAUUUAUCGCCUUUCGAUGGGCCCGCGUUGGAUUAGCUAGGUGGUAGGGUAAAAGCCUACCAAGGCGACGAUCCAUAGCUGGUCUGAGAGGAUGAUCAGCCACACUGGGACUGAGACACGGCCCAGACUCCUACGGGAGGCAGCAGUGGGGAAUAUUGGACAAUGGGCGAAAGCCUGAUCCAGCAAUGCCGCGUGAGUGAUGAAGGCCUUAGGGUUGUAAAGCUCUUUUACCCGGGAUGAUAAUGACAGUACCGGGAGAAUAAGCUCCGGCUAACUCCGUG
rnacentral:rRNA from 1 species